rnacentral:rRNA from 1 species
UACGGGGGGGGCAAGCGUUGUUCGGAAUUACUGGGCGUAAAGGGCUCGUAGGCGGCCAACUAAGUCAGACGUGAAUCCCUCGGCUUAACCGGGGAACUGCGUCUGAUACUGGAUGGCUUGAAUCCGGGAGAGGGAUGCGGAAUUCCAGGUGUAGCGGUGAAAUGCGUAGAUAUCUGGAGGAACACCGAUGGCGAAGGCAGGUCUCUGGGCAUUAACUGACGCUGAGGAGCGAAAGCAUGGGGAGCGAACAGG